UUGGUGCUAUGCUGCAGUUCGAAGCGACGCAUGCCCAGUUCGUAAGAACAGGGUAUGACGGAGCGGCGAACGGGUGAGUAACACGUGAGCAACCUGCCCCACAGACCGGGAUAGCCCAAGGAAACUUGGAUUAAUACCGGAUUCCCUCGAACAAUCGCAUGGUUGAUCGAGGAAAGGCCUUUGUGCUGUGGGAUGGGCUCGCGGCUUAUCAGCUAGUUGGUGGGGUAAAGGCCUACCAAGGCAUCGACGAGUAGCUGGUCUGAGAGGACGAUCAGCCACACUGGAACUGAGACACGGUCCAGACUCCUACGGGAGGCAGCAGCAGGGAAUCUUGCGCAAUGGGCGAAAGCCUGACGCAGCAACGCCGCGUGGGGGAUGAAGGCCUUCGGGUUGUAAACCCCUUUCAGGAGGGAAGAAAUUGACGGUACCUCCAGAAGAAGGACCGGCCAACUACGUGCCAGCAGCCGCGGUAAUACGUAGGGUCCUAGCGUUAUCCGGAAUCAUUGGGCGUAAAGAGCUCGUAGGCGGUUCAGCAAGUCGGCUGUGAAAGUCCGAGGCUUAACCUCGGAAUUGCAGUCGAUACUGCUGUGACUCGAGUCCGGUAGAGGAGAAUGGAAUUCUCGGUGUAGCGGUGAAAUGCGCAGAUAUCGAGAGGAACACCAGUAGCGAAGGCGGUUCUCUGGGCCGGCACUGACGCUGAGGAGCGAAAGCGUGGGGAGCAAACAGGAUUAGAUACCCUGGUAGUCCACGCCGUAAACGUUGGAUACUAGGUGUGGCGGUUGUACCAACGACUGCCGUGCCGAAGCUAACGCAUUAAGUAUCCCCGCCCUGGGGGAGUACGGCCCCAG
rnacentral:rRNA from 1 species